rnacentral:rRNA from 1 species
UACGUAGGGUGCGAGCGUUAAUCGGAAUUACUGGGCGUAAAGCGUGCGCAGGCGGUUUUGUAAGCCAGAUGUGAAAUCCCCGGGCUCAACCUGGGAAUGGCAUUUGGGACUGCAAGGCUCGAGUGCGGCAGAGGAGACUGGAAUUCCUGGUGUAGCAGUGAAAUGCGCAGAUAUCGGGAAGAACACCCGUGGCGAAGGCGGUUCUCUGGGACGGUACUGACGCUGAGACGCGAAAGCGUGGGGAGCGAACAGG